GCUUGUCUCAAAGAUUAAGCCAUGCAUGUGUUAGUAUAAACGCCUUUAUACUGUGAAACUGCGAACGGCUCAUUAUAUCAGUUAUAGUUUAUUUGAUACUUUUCGACUAUUGGAUAACCGUAGUAAUUCUUGAGCUAAUACAUGCGAAAAAUCUCGACUCACGGAGAGAUGCUUUUAUUAGAUCAAAACCAAACGGCUUCGGCCGUCUCAUUGGUGACUCUGAAUAACUUUGGGCUGAUCGUAUGGCCUUGUGCCGACGACGUUUCCUUCGAAGGUGUGCCCUAUCAACUGUCGACUGUGAUAUAGACGCUCACAGUGGUUUUGACGGGUAACGGGGAAUCAGGGUUCGAUUCCGGAGAGGGAGCCUUAAAAACGGCUACCACAUCCAAGGAAGGCAGCAGG
rnacentral:rRNA from 1 species